rnacentral:rRNA from 1 species
AUUGAACGCUGGCGGCAGGCCUAACACAUGCAAGUCGAACGAGUGGCGGACGGGUGAGUAAUGUCUGGGCAACUGCCCGAUGGCGGGGGAUAACUACUGGAAACGGUAGCUAAUAACGCAUACCCUCGGAUGUGCCCAGAUGGGAGUUGCUAGGAGGUGGGGUAACGGCUCACCGAGGCGCCGACCCCUAGCGGGUCUGAGAGGAUGACUCGCCAACCUGGAACUGAGACACGGUCCAGACUCCGUCGGGUGGCAGCAGUGGGGAUUAUUGCACGAUGGGCGCAAGCCUGAUGCAGCCAUGCCGCGUGUAUGAAGAAGGCCUUCGGGUUGUAAAGUACUUUCAGCGAGGAGGCGUUACUCGCAGAAGAAGCACCGGCUAACGCCGUGCCAGCAGCCGCGGUAAUAC